GGUAGCCUCUCAAAAGGUAGAAAACGCAGAAGCAUCUUUUUGGCAAAACCCUAGCUCUGACGUACCUUUCUCCUUCUUUCUCCGUCUCCGUCCGCUACUCCAAACGAAGAAAGGAAACUGUUUUUGGAUUUCCCAUCCCUCGACCUUUCUAUUGAACCAAUGAAGUUUCUCUCCUCUGAAACACUACCGCCGUCGCUGGCGCCUUUUCAACUCGAUCGAAUCUCGUAACCCUAGCUUUUUCAACUCAAGUAAAUUCAUCUUUCAACUCGGUUUGACGUUUUUUAUUUUUAUAUCUAUUAUAGAGCUCAGUUAGUUGGUGAGUUAAUUCAAUUGGUAGAGUUUUUACUGAUUUUUACAUUGAUUAUAAACUUGGGUGAUUUUUGUAAACAAAUUGUUUGUUGAAAUGCCACAAUGAGUUUAUUAGGUUGAUUCUGAGUUGGGGCUUGAAUGUUAAUCUUCUAUCAUGGUGGAUGUUUUAUGGACGGUUAGUGUUUAUCUAUGCCUUUCCAAAGUUAAGUUAACCGACGAAGGGCUGAAGCUGUUGUUGCAGAAAUGCUUAUCCCUUCAAAGUUUGAAUCUCUAUGCAAUGUCUAGUUUCACAGCUCAUGUUUUUGGAUCUCUGUGGUGCCCAGAAUCUUUCAGAUGAAGGACUUGAAUGUAUUUCGAAAUGCAAGAACCUUGUAUCCCUCAAUCUGACUUGGUGUGUACGUGUGACCGAUGAGGGAGUUAUAGUUGUUGCUCAGAGUUGCACCUCUCUUGAAUUUCUAAGGUAUUAUCAUAUUUUGAGAAGUUUAUAGCACUUGGAUAAUUGUUAUCCUAGAAUCACUUAUUGGAUUGCCAUAUUUGCAGCUUAUUCGGAUUGAGCUUUGUUUCUGGUUUGUGGUUUGAGCUUUGUUUCUGCAGGGAACAUUAAGGCUGAGAUAGUUAAGUUUCAUUAAAACUAUAUAUGAAAACUAGAAUGAAAGUGUUAUCAAGAACACAAUGCUGUUUGUGAUGCUCUCAAGGGAUUUCUCGCCGAAGGGUUGCAGAAGACUUCAGCUGGUUUGGGCAGUGUAUGCUUGCACUUAAUUUCUUAGUCAAUUUUACAAAAUCUAGUACUGAAACUAUUGUACAAUUAAUCUAAUGAAGGUUUAAGAACAAUAGCAAUAGCCAGCUCAUUCACAAGUAAUAACACAGUGGCUUCUAGUUCUUCCUAAAUCUUACAGUAGAUCCUACAUUUAAAAUAAUUUGGUUCUUUAAAAUAAUUUGGCCAAUAGAGAUGUCAAGUUUUAGCCUGCAAUAUAUUUUUGGUAAAUUUGUAUUUCUUUUCAUUUAAAAAGUUGGAUAACUUUACUCUAGUGAGUUGUUUUAAGCAUAAUUAUAUAUGUGAAAUUUAUUUCCCAUUUCACUUAAAUUGAUUAAUUUAAUUUAUUUCCCAGAGAGAAGAUGAACUCUUAUGAUGAAGCUAGUGGCAGACUUUGUUUCACAUUAAAUUAUUGCAUAGGAAAAUUUCAGUGUCAAUUUAUCAAAAAAA